ensembl:lncRNA
CCCUCCCCCUGGCCCCCCCUCAUCUAAAAGCCUGAACUUUGAAUAGGACGUGAGGGAAAUGUUAAGCAACUGUUCCAGGGGAAGAGAUGACCGAGGGGACAAACGCCGACUGUUUGGGCUCUGAAACAAAGACGAAACCCAGAAGCUGGUUGGCGAGCUCCACUUUCUACUGCUGCCCCCCUCUCCCCCCUCCUCCCCCCUUUGCGUCCCUCAUUCCCGUCAAAUGUUCGCAAAGUGACUUUUUUUGGCCAAAGCAGGAGGUGAUGGUGAAUCCGGGAGGACCGGAGGGGGUUUGAGAGAAGCGCAGACUCGAUGAGGCGCCGGCUGAUCCCCGCACGCACUUUUCAUCUCAAUUCCCCAAUUUGCACUAAUUCCAUGUAAAGGCUCCUCUUCCCCCGAGAUGAUUGGAUGCAGCAGGCGGCCUGGAAGAGAGCCACCGACAAUAGUUACCCUGCGGUUUGAUAUUUCAGAUCGCUGCUGCAGCUCAGACCGGCCUGUGAGCACUGCAGUGGGGGGUGGGGGGGGAUUUGGGCUUUGGGUCAGAACCGUUUAUCCAGUAGGAUUAUACUUCAUUCUACGGGGACAUAUUGCUUCCGUAAAUGCUGCAUCCGUGAUGAGAAUACGUGAGACGCAGUAGUUAAUAUGGGAGAUGUUUCCCUUCCUUCCUUGUAGGAGGGGGGGGGGGGGGGGGGGGGGGGGGUCUCAUUAGAGAAUGAUCUGAAUUACUGCUCAUACAGGUGACAUUCUGUUCUCCGAGGAGGAAUAUUGUGCAGGAUUUACACGUCUGGAGUUGUGCAGCAGAGGGAUGAUGGGAGAACAGAUGGAUGGAUACUUCACUGUCACUUUACAGGAGACAAAAGACAACAGUGAUACAGGAUUAAGGCGAACGCACAACAGUGGGUACGACAAAUGAGGGAGCUCGGUGCCAAAUAGUGAGCAUGUGUUACAGAAGACUGAUGCCGACGGACACGUAGAGGAGGAGAGGAUGUGCGCUGCGUGUUCAAACACACGAGCUGACAUCAGGUUGAGAUGUUUUCAUGCAGGUCAGAUGAUUUUCUCCAUCGGUGAUGAUUGACUGAUCCGUGUAGGUGGUUCUGAGGGUUCCCCUCACGACGAGGAGCUCAGCAUCACAGUUUGUGAAUAAGAAUUCUGAGCAGAAAGAAGCCCAACUAGUUUCAUUGGGUGUGUUUUUGAGGCCCCUCGUUUACACUCCUCACUUCUUUGGCUCCAGCGAUCCUCCUUCAGGACGCCGCUGGAGGACGUUUAACGCGGCGGCAAAGGAGCAACGUGUUCUCCUCAGAAUCGGUGAAAGCUUCUGAUAAAAUCUGUUUUGUGUUACUUUCUUAUUUCUAAUUCUGAUCUCGUAAAGAUUCUUCACAGAACAUCUUGAGCAGUAAGUGUUCUUUGAAACGGAAGCAGUGCUGAGUUGUUACGGACUUUAUUUAAAGGCACAGUAAAGAAAUGGAAAAUACGAAGUGGCUUUUCUUUAACAUCCCCUUGUUCUCUCCAUACGGAGCGCGUGGUUCCGCGGACCUUCUUUAACCUCUGACCCACUGGCUGCGCAGAGUCUCGACUCUACAGGUUUCCAUCACAACAGCAGCUGUGUUCUCUAAUUAGCCGUGAGGCUGAAAUCCAACUGUUGUUUUCAGAAAACAUGAGAGAAUUCCUCCGUGAUGGAGCUCAUUAACUUCACAUCCACGUCUGACAGCAGAACAGAUGAAGCUCAUGUCUGCUGCUCUGAGUCGUGAUGCUGAGAUGAAGCAGACACGGUGGUGUGGAGCUCCUUCCCGGUGGUGCUCAGAGGAACGCUGCCUCCAGUGAGCUGUGGAAGAGUUCAUCACCUCCACCCAACACCUUCAGGAUGGAGAGACACUUCACUCGGUGUGAAAACUGGAAUGUCUGUGGAGGCGUUUGUCUCCUCUUCUUGUCCAGGUUUCAACUCCCUUCAGCUGUCAGUAUUCUGAUUCACAAAUAACUGUGAACCUUCGUGAUGUCGGGCUUCAGGAAGAGGACUCGUAUCUCCUCCGCCCCCCCUGAGGUCCGACGAUCCCCCAAACGCCCCCCCGGCCGAGUCACUCGUCAUAAGCAGCCGAGAUGAGAGAGAUUACCGCGUCCCACGAGCCAGGCAGCCUGCGGAGGACUCGCAGCUCUCCUCUCGCUCUCGGUUCCCCCGGUUCCCCGGUUCCCCUUCCACAGGAAUCCAGUCUGAGGAACAGCUGGGCCGCGCCUCAAUAAGAUGAACCAACCCACCGAGGGAACGAAGCGAAAGGCCGUUUACCUCCACCACCUGCACGCACACGCACACACGCACGCACACGCACACACGCACACUGCACACGCACGCACACGCACGAGACGUGUGAUGCCUCUCUGCUGUGCUCACGAGGAACAGCCCGUUCUUGUCGAAUGAAGAACCUCCACACGUUCUCUUGUCUGCGUUGAUCCUUGACGUGUGACCUCAGCUAAUCACAGGCGCUUGUGUUCUCCGGCCUCAAUGGGC